UUCUAUUUGGCCUUCUUGCUCUGCCCUCUUCAACAUAAGACAAUUUACUUAUCCAGGCCUUGACUUUUGAACAUUUAGCUAGCUUCUAUUUUUACUCUACUACAAAUAAAUGAACAAACUCACCUCUCCUCUGAUCACCGCUUCCCUGCCACACUAUUUUCUGACUGUCCCUCAAACACCUCAAACUUGGCUCCUACCUCUCGGGCUUUGCACUUACAGUCUCUUCAGCUGAAACCAUCUGCCUCUACAUAAUACAUAGUUUGCUUCCUCGUGUCAUUCAUUUCUUUGUCAAAUGUCACCUCCUUCAGGGGGCCUACCCAGGGCUCCCGUUUCAUUCUCUUUUUACUCUGACUUAUUUUCUUUCUAGCAUCUAUCAGUAGUUGACAUUAUUAUGCAUUUAACUCUGCAUUUCUUAUCUAUCACUCUCCGUAGAAAUUAAUUUUCAUGAGGACAGGGUCCUUGUCUCUCUUGCUCAGCUUUACUUCCCUGGUACUGUAGAAUACAUCUGCCUCAAUAAAAGAUGCUCAGCCAACAAUGGACAAGUGAAUAGACAAUAAAAAUGUUCCCCAUAUUUUCGAGUUUUUGCUAUAGUGAUUAGAAUCACUAUGUUAAUAGGUAUGAACAAUAUAAGGCUCUCAACACAUUCUGUACAAUUACAUUCCAAAAGGGCUUAUACUGGUUUACAUUUCCAUCAACAAUAUAGGAAACUGCAUCUUUCACUAUCCCCUAGACUGACUGGAUUUGACUCAAUGACAGUCAAGAUUCUAAUAUCUUGAGUAAGCAAAAUUAGACAUGCAUUCCCUUCCCUCAGAAGUGUGUCUCAACCAGGAUAUUGUUUUUCUUUUCUUUGUCACAUAUGACAAAUUGUACUCACUGCCUCUUGUACUGUUUCUUCUCACUCCUGCCCUCUCCACAAAGGAAAUGUUGGGCAUUAUAAUCAGUCUCAAGGAAGAGUUUGCAUGGAAAUUAAAAUGAUAGAAUAAACUCUGGUACUAAUCUAAAGCAUGAACUUUGCAGUCAGGUGGGCUGGGGUUCAACUCCUGCCCGGCCCUUCCCUGGAACUCUCUAGACUUUGAUUUCUGGAUCUGGAAAUAGGGCAUAAUAACCUUACUGCCCACUUUUCAGGAUUGUUAUAAGUAAUAAAUGCGGUAAUGUAUGAUGUCUUGUAGUACAAUGGCAGGUUCAAGCCAACAAUUUACCUACAAAUAAAGAAAUAAACACACACUCCAGAGAAAUUUAUUUGGGCCCAGGCAAUUCUCUGAUAGUGUUCCAGAGGGGCAGACAAUG
rnacentral:lncRNA from 1 species